UACGAAGGGGGCUAGCGUUGCUCGGAAUUACUGGGCGUAAAGCGCACGUAGGCGGGUCGUUAAGUCAGGGGUGAAAUCCCGGAGCUCAACUCCGGAACUGCCUUUGAUACUGGCGAUCUUGAGUUCGAGAGAGGUGAGUGGAACUGCGAGUGUAGAGGUGAAAUUCGUAGAUAUUCGCAAGAACACCAGUGGCGAAGGCGGCUCACUGGCUCGAUACUGACGCUGAGACGCGAAAGCGUGGGGAGCGAACAGG
rnacentral:rRNA from 1 species